AGUCUUCAAAAUCUAUCACUCGAAAUGGAGGGGAAAAUGGUUUUCUACAAAUCCAAGAAGAAUGUAGUAGCCAUUCUUUUCAUCCUAACUCUAGUGCAAAUCAUGGUUGAUAAAACUGAGUGUUGCGUAUUACCGGAGAAAAAUGUAAAACUUUCUUAUUUUUACAAACUUGUUGUCCGGGAUAUAGGUGCAGCAAAGGUGCUGGUCACAAAUGUGUAGAAGACCCCAAGCAACAUUGCACGCCUGCGGGGGAUCUUGCUCCGGGCCAACCGCCUUCGUAUGCUGUGGAAGAAACUAUUGUGAUGAGAAAAGUAAUACAUGUCAACCUUAUGCAUGGUUAUCACAAGGCUCGUUUAUGUGGAGCUUUAUUUCAUUUGAGUUUGUUAGAUUGGCUAUUUUAAUGGUUGUUCAAGCUAAUAAUAAGAAAUAUUGACUAAAGAUAUAAAGUACUCUUUUAUCAUUGUAACACUAAUUUACAAAAUCAAUAUUAUAAU